GACGAACGCUGGCGGCGUGCUUAACACAUGCAAGUCGAACGAUGAAGCUGGAGCUUGCUCCGGUGGAUUAGUGGCGAACGGGUGAGUAACACGUGAGCAAUCUGCCCUUGACUCUGGGAUAACUGCGGGAAACUGUAGCUAAUACCGGAUAUGAGGCUUGGAGGCAUCUCCAGGUCUGGAAAGAAUUUCGGUCAAGGAUGAGCUCGCGGCCUAUCAGCUAGUUGGUGAGGUAAUGGCUCACCAAGGCGACGACGGGUAGCCGGCCUGCGAGGGUGGCCGGCCACACUGGGACUGAGACACGGCCCAGACUCCUACGGGAGGCAGCAGUGGGGAAUAUUGCACAAUGGGCGAAAGCCUGAUGCGGCAACGGCGCGUGAGGGAUGAAGGCCUUCGGGUUGUAAACCUCUUUUAGCAGGGAAGAAGCGAAAGUGACGGUACCUGCAGAAAAAGCACCGGCUAACUACGUGCCAGCCGCCGCCGUAA
rnacentral:rRNA from 1 species